GAUGAGUGAAUGUGAUAGCAACUGUGUGAGUGGCACCUGGAGAUGGCUGACAGUGUGGUAACAAGCAAGCAAGCAGCCAUCAUGCUGGGCACACUGCAUCGCAGUAAUGUAACAGCAAUAUCUUUGGCCACCAUGUAAGGAUAACAGCAAGAUUAUUUGCAGCUCACACAAGAGCUCCCUGCUUAUGUGCCUGGGGAGGCAGUGGAAGAUGGACCACGUGGGAGGCCCUGCCACCCAUGGGGAAGACUCAGACAAAGCUCUGGGUUCCAGGUCCGCUGAGGCUGCCACAACCCCCAGCUCCUCAAGUGCUCCCACCUACCCGCUGGGGCCCCUACUGCAGAACCUGGCCCCUAAGCUUCCAAUGUCCUGCUCUUGAGCUCCUGGGCCUAGAACCCAGUGUAGAGGGACUGGACCUCCUGACGUCUGUGAGGGCAAUGCCAGAGAACUGCUUCUGCUUCCCGAG